rnacentral:lncRNA from 1 species
GUUAAAACCUCACAACAUACACAUAGUAGCAAAUGGCAAAAUCCCAAAUUUCCCAAGUCAUUUUCUCUGCCCUUCUCAUCUGCUUCCUCCUUAUAGCAUCCAACGGUAAGAAGUCUUUAGUUCAUUUUUUUUUUCAAAAUAAAUGUCUUUCCAACUUUCGGUCGAGACUGCUUCUUGUAGAAAAAUUUCACGAUGAAGCUACCUUAAUUAUUGUUUGAAACUAAUUUCUAAAAGAGUUUUCUUUCAAAAAAAAAAAAAAAAAAAAAAAACUUUUAGAGGAGGCCAUAUUGAUACACCUACCUCUAAAAGUUCUUUUAAAUAGAUUUUUUUUUUUUUUUUUAAUCAAACAUGUCCAAAAUCUACUUUUGGAUCUCAAAAUCUUCUUUUGACUUUUUAAAAGUCACACCAAACAUGGCCUUCAUAUGCAGUGUGUGAAACAACAUAACAUUUCAAUAUACUAAACAUGCCGUAAGUUUGCUUGGUAGUAAGGAUUUUUUCAUUAAAAUAUUUUAAUUUUAUAGAUAAUAAAAGAAAAAUUACAAACAAGAAAGGAAGAAGAAGUCAAGACCUCUAUCAAUUAGAAUUCUCAUCGAUUCUAACUGGUGUUAAGGAUUUGAUAGCAGUUCAACUAAGAAAAUACAUCAAAAUCUAUUUUUCAUACUGUGCAGUCUUAUCCAGCAAAAGUUGAUGACAUAAAUUAAGCAUGCAUGCAAAUAUUGGUAAACUUGGCUAAUGUAGCUUCUCUGUCACUUUGUAUAUAUACAUAUAUGUAUAUGCAGAGGUGCAGAUUGUGGAAGCUAAAGUCUGUUCGAGGCUGAGUAGGACGUGGUCGGGGUUGUGCCUGAAUACCGGCAACUGUGAUCGGCAGUGCAGGAACUGGGAGAAGGCUCAACAUGGAGCUUGCCAUAGGAGGGGCUGGGGAUUCGCUUGCUUUUGCUACCGUAAAUGCUGAGAUUAUUCUCAUGCAUACUUUCUGUCUACUUUUAAGUAAAAUGAAUAAUAAGUUGCUACUAGUUUAGCAACUGUUUAUGUAUUGAGAUCACUUCCGUCAAUGUGUUUGCGCUUUUUACUGCUUCAGCCUUUGUAAU